rnacentral:tRNA from 1 species
GGGUUUGUGGCUCAGUGGUAGAGCGCUCACCUAGCACAUGUGAGGCACUGGGUUCCAUUCUCAGCACCA